UACGGGGGGGGCAAGCGUUGUUCGGAAUUACUGGGCGUAAAGGGCGCGUAGGCGGUUGGAUAAGUCAGCUGUGAAAACCACGGGCUUAACUCGUGGCCUGCAGUUGAGACUGUCUGGCUUGAGUGUGGGAGAGGAGAGUGGAAUUCCUGGUGUAGCGGUGAAAUGCGCAGAUAUCAGGAGGAACACCCGUAGCGAAGGCGGCACUCUGGGCCGGAACUGACGCUGAGGAGCGAAAGCGUGGGGAGCGAACAGG
rnacentral:rRNA from 1 species